GUCUGGGAAACUGCCUGAUGGAGGGGGAUAACUGCUGGAAACGGUAGCUAAUACCGCAUAACGUCGCAAGACCACAGAGGGGGACCUUCGGGCCUCUUGCCAUCGGAUGUGCCCAGAUGGGAUUAGCUAGUAGGUGGGGUAACGGCUCACCUAGGCGACGAUCCCUAGCUGGUCUGAGAGGAUGGCCAGCCACACUGGAACUGAGACACGGUCCAG
rnacentral:rRNA from 1 species